AUGUCUUCCUCGUCGGACAACCCCAACACGGUCACCGACCGCGGCCUCUUCAGCAAGAGCAGCAAGGACGAGAAGAAGAAGCAGGAGGAGAAGAAAGAGGAGGAGGAGGGCGGCGGCGGGUUCAUCGACAAGGUCAAGGACUUCAUCCACGACAUCGGCGAGAAGAUCGAGGAGGCGGUGGGGUUCGGCAAGCCGAGCGCGGACGUGGCCCGGAUCCACGUGCCCCACAUCGGCCUCCACCGCGCCGACCUCGUGGUGGACGUGCUCAUCAAGAACCCCAACCCGGUGCCCAUCCCGCUCGUCGACAUCGACUACCUCAUCGACAGCGACGGCCGGAAGCUGGUGGCGGGCCUCAUCCCGGACGCCGGCACCAUCCGCGCGCACGGGGAGGAGACGGUCAAGGUGCCCAUCACGCUCGACUUCGACGACAUCCGGAGCACCUACGCGGACAUCAAGCCCGGGAGCAUCAUCCCCUACCUGCUCCGGGUCGUCUUCCUGGUGGACGUGCCCGUGUUCGGCCGCAUCAAGAUCCCGCUGGACAAGUCCGGGGAGAUCCCGAUCCCGUACAAGCCGGACGUGGACGUGGACAAGAUCAAGUUCCACCACUUCUCGUUCGAGGAGACCACCGCCACCAUCCACCUGAGCCUGGAGAACAAGAACGACUUCGACCUCGGGCUCAACCUGCUGCAGUACCAGAUGUGGCUCGGCGACGACAGCGUGGUGGAGGCGGAGCUCACCGAGUCCACCAGGAUCGAGAAGCAGGGGAUCACCAAGAUGCAGAUCCCAUUCACCUUCAGGCCCAAGGACCUGGGAUCUGCCGUCUGGGACAUGAUCAGGGGCAGGGGAACUGGGUACAGCAUCAAGGGCAAGAUCGAUGUCGACACACCCUUUGGCAACAUGAAGCUGCCCAUCGACAAGGUCGGCGGAACCACUCGCCUCAAGAAGGACGACGACGAUGACGAGGUAUAUCAUUUCAUUUCUGUUGAUUGUUUCCUCUGCAUCUUGCUUAUUGCUGUGCAAUCAUCAGACCAGCUGGACGAGGCUUGUCCUGUUUUGACUAGGAUAGUUGACAAUGGAAGAAAUUGA
rnacentral:rRNA from 1 species